CGGAGGGUGCAGCGUUGUCCGGAUUUAUUGGGUUUAAGGGUGCGUAGGCGGCUCUUUAAGUCAGUGGUGAAAGCCGACAGCUUAACUGUCGAAAUGCCAUUGAUACUGGGGAGCUUGAGUACAGUAGAGGUAGGCGGAAUUAAUGGUGUAGCGGUGAAAUGCAUAGAUACCAUUAAGAACACCGAUUGCGAAGGCAGCUUACUAUAGUGUAACUGACGCUGAGGCACGAAAGUGUGGGGGAUCAAACAGGAUUAGAUACCCUGGUAGUCCACACUGUAAACGAUGAUCACUCGCUGUUGGCGAUAGACAGCCAGCGGCUUAGCGAAAGCGAUAAGUGAUCCACCUGGGGAGUACGCUCGCAAGAGUG
rnacentral:rRNA from 1 species